rnacentral:rRNA from 1 species
UACGUAGGUGGCAAGCGUUGUCCGGAUUUAUUGGGUUUAAAGGGUGCGUAGGCGGCCCUAUAAGUCAGUGCUGAAAUAUCCCGGCUUAACCGGGAGGGUGGCAUUGAUACUGUAGGGCUUGAGUACAGUUGAGGUUGGGGGAAUUGACGGUGUAGCGGUGAAAUGCUUAGAUAUCGUCAAGAACACCUAUUGCGAAGGCCGCUAACUAAGCUUUAACUGACGCUGAGGCACGAAAGUGUGGGGAUCAAACAGG